GACGAACGCUGGCGGCGUGCUUAACACAUGCCAGUCGUACGGUAAGGCCCUUUCGGGGGUACACGAGUGGCGAACGGGUGAGUAACACGUGAGUAACCUGCCCACAACUUUGGGAUAACGCUAGGAAACUGGUGCUAAUACUGGAUAUGUGCUCCUGCUGCAUGGUGGGGGUUGGAAAGCUCCGGCGGUUGUGGAUGGACUCGCGGCCUAUCAGCUUGUUGGUGGGGUAGUGGCCUACCAAGGCGGCGACGGGUAGCCGGCCUGGGAGGGUGACCGGCCACAUGGGGACUGGGAUACGGCCAGACUCCUACGGGAGGCAGCAGUGGGGAAUAUUGCACAAUGGGCGCAAGCCUGAUGCAGCAACGCCGCGUGCGGGAUGACGGCCUUCGGGUUGUAAACCGCUUUCAGCAGGGACGAAGCUUUUUGUGACGGUACCUGCAGAAGAAGCACCGGCUAACUACGUG
rnacentral:rRNA from 1 species